GGUUGAUAUUCCUGUACCACCUCGUAUUCGUUUGAACGAUGGGGGGACGCAGAAAGCUAGGGUGAGCGCGCCGCUGGCUGUGCGCGUCGAAGCAUGCAAGGCUGGAACAUAGGCAAAUCCGUGUUCCAUAAGGCUGAGCUGUGACCGUGAAGGACCUUCGGGUCCGAAAUCCCUGAUCCUCCGCUGCCGAGAAAAGCCUCUAGUGAGAAUACAGGUGCCCGUACCGCAAACCGACACAGGUAGGCGAGAAGAGAAUUCUAAGACGCUCGGGAGAACUCUCGUUAAGGAACUCGGCAAAAUGACCCCGUAACUUCGGGAGAAGGGGUGCUCUAGUAGGGUUAACCGCCCGAGAGAGCCGCAGUGAAAGGAUCCAAGCGACUGUUUAGCAAAAACACAGGUCUCUGCGAAGCCGUAAGGCGAAGUAUAGGGGCUGACA
rnacentral:rRNA from 2 species